GGGUUAAAUUUUCUUUAAAAAUAUAUAUAUGUAUAUUCUUCAGUCACGUUUUAUUAUCCGUUCUGAUGAAUUUGAAUGACAACUUGUCAUAUUUAAUUCAUGUUUUUUUUCUAUUAUUAUUUUUUUGUUUAGAAAGUAAUUUUUUAAAACUUAAAUGUCAAUCUGUAUGACGUAAAUAACGAACAAUAAGCUUUAAAAAAUAAUAAUAAUAAUAUCUUCAGAGGAUAAUCAAGACAUAAUCUAGGAAAUAAUUACACAAGAUACGAUGAGCUCAAUGCUAAUCUUACGUGAAAAUUUCAACAUCGACUCCUUAAAAAAAAAAAAGAUAAUGGAAGGAAAAAUUCACGAUAAGUUUCUAAGAAAUCAUACAGAGAACUGGUUUCACUAGAAGGCAUUAAAAGUCGAAAGAAAGUUAUUUACAAGAUUAUAUUUAGAAAGAAUUACUAUAAUUCUUUGAUAAUACAAACCAGAAAAAUACUGCUAAAAAUUCCGCCUACAUUAUGAGAAAAUUGUAGAAAUGAUAUCUUAUAAAGUGAAUUGAUUUUGGCCUUAAAAUACAGAAUACUUGGAGCAUGGCGUAAAGAAAACUUGUGCCAAAUUUCAACAAAAUGGUGGUCUCUAGAGGCGCCUACUUAGUCGAAGAAGAAGAAGAAGAAGAAGAAGAAGAAGAAAGUGGAGGAGGAGAAGAAUUACUUGUCAAAUUAAUUUUGAAAUUUUCGAAUUGUAUUGUAAACACUGAUUGAAAUUAAAGAAUGAAUUAUUCAAAUUCGAAAAUAUAUCGAUUUUUAUAGAAAUAAAAAGAAAUUAAGACUUUAAAAAAUAGGUAUAAAAUACGACUUUGUUUUACAUUCAAUGAGUGAGUAAUGUCGUCUAUAUUUAUACUUAACCUUGUCAUUUGCUUCGCCAUUUGAUAAGGCACUCGAACGAGUAAUUUUUAUCUUA